AUUGAACGCUGGCGGCAUGCCUUACACAUGCAAGUCGAACGGUAACAGGUCUUCGGAUGCUGACGAGUGGCGAACGGGUGAGUAAUACAUCGGAACGUGCCUAGUAGUGGGGGAUAACUACUCGAAAGACUGGCUAAUACCGCAUGAGAUCUACGGAUGAAAGCAGGGGAUCGCAAGACCUUGUGCUACCAGAGCGGCCGAUGGAAGAUUAGGUAGUUGGUGGGAUAAAAGCUUACGAAGCCGACGAUCUGUAGCUGGUCUGAGAGGACGAUCAGCCACACUGGGACUGAGGCCCGGCCCAGAAUCCUCCGGGGGGCAGCAGUGGGGAAUUUUGGACGAUGGGCGAAAGCCUGAUCCAGCAAUGCCACGUGCAGGAUGAAGGCCUUCGGGUUGUAAACUGCUUUUGUACGGAACGAAAAGCCCCGGGUUAAUACCCUGGGGUCAUGACGGUACCGUAAGAAUAAGCACCGGCUAACUACGUGCCAGCCGCCGCUGUAA
rnacentral:rRNA from 1 species